GAUGAACGCUGGCGGCGUGCCUAAUACAUGCAAGUCGAGCGAACGGACGAGAAGCUUGCUUCUCUGAUGUUAGCGGCGGACGGGUGAGUAACACGUGGAUAACCUACCUAUAAGACUGGGAUAACUUCGGGAAACCGGAGCUAAUACCGGAUAAUAUUUUGAACCGCAUGGUUCAAAGGUGAAAGACGGUCUUGCUGUCACUUAUAGAUGGAUCCGCGCUGCAUUAGCUAGUUGGUAAGGUAACGGCUUACCAAGGCAACGAUGCAUAGCCGACCUGAGAGGGUGAUCGGCCACACUGGAACUGAGACACGGUCCAGACUCCUACGGGAGGCAGCAGUAGGGAAUCUUCCGCAAUGGGCGAAAGCCUGACGGAGCAACGCCGCGUGAGUGAUGAAGGUCUUCGGAUCGUAAAACUCUGUUAUUAGGGAAGAACAUAUGUGUAAGUAACUGUGCACAUCUUGACGGUACCUAAUCAGAAAGCUACGGCUAACUACGUG
rnacentral:rRNA from 1 species